rnacentral:rRNA from 1 species
UGCAGUCGUACGCUUCUUUUUCCACCGGAGCUUGCUCCACCGGAAAAAGAAGAGUGGCGAACGGGUGAGUAACACGUGGGUAACCUGCCCAUCAGAAGGGGAUAACACUUGGAAACAGGUGCUAAUACCGUAUAACAAUCGAAACCGCAUGGUUUUGAUUUGAAAGGCGCUUUCGGGUGUCGCUGAUGGAUGGACCCGCGGUGCAUUAGCUAGUUGGUGAGGUAACGGCUCACCAAGGCCACGAUGCAUAGCCGACCUGAGAGGGUGAUCGGCCACAUUGGGACUGAGACACGGCCCAAACUCCUACGGGAGGCAGCAGUAGGGAAUCUUCGGCAAUGGACGAAAGUCUGACCGAGCAACGCCGCGUGAGUGAAGAAGGUUUUCGGAUCGUAAAACUCUGUUGUUAGAGAAGAACAAGGAUGAGAGUAACUGUUCAUCCCUUGACGGUAUCUAACCAGAAAGCCACGGCUAACUACGUGCCAGCAGCCGCGGUAAUACGUAGGUGGCAAGCGUUGUCCGGAUUUAUUGGGCGUAAAGCGAGCGCAGGCGGUUUCUUAAGUCUGAUGUGAAAGCCCCCGGCUCAACCGGGGAGGGUCAUUGGAAACUGGGAGACUUGAGUGCAGAAGAGGAGAGUGGAAUUCCAUGUGUAGCGGUGAAAUGCGUAGAUAUAUGGAGGAACACCAGUGGCGAAGGCGGCUCUCUGGUCUGUAACUGACGCUGAGGCUCGAAAGCGUGGGGAGCAAACAGGAUUAGAUACCCUGGUAGUCCACGCCGUAAACGAUGAGUGCUAAGUGUUGGAGGGUUUCCGCCCUUCAGUGCUGCAGCUAACGCAUUAAGCACUCCGCCUGGGGAGUACGACCGCAAGGUUGAAACUCAAAGGAAUUGACGGGGGGCCCGCACAAGCGGUGGAGCAUGUGGUUUAAUUCGAAGCAACGCGAAGAACCUUACCAGGUCUUGACAUCCUUUGACCACUCUAGAGAUAGAGCUUCCCCUUCGGGGGCAAAGUGACAGGUGGUGCAUGGGAUGUCGUCAGCUCGUGUCGUGAGAUGUUGGGAUUAGUCUCGCACGAGCGCAACUCAUUAAUGCUAGUAGCAAUCAUCCAGUUGGUCACUCUAGCCAGACUGACGGGUGAACAAACC